UAGAACAGGCAAAGGGAAAAAGGGCAUCAAAAGCUGGGUCUGCAAAAGGUACCAAGUUGGUACCAAGCAAGAGUGGGGCCUGCAGGAUGAACAGUUUCAGCUUGGAGAGAUUACCUCUGCCAGGUAGGGACAAGACCUAUGCCUCAGAGCAGAGAAAAAAAAGCAAAAAGCUGGAUGGCAAGUUACCAAUGAGUGGCAAGUCUUCUUUGUUGCUUCAAUAAUUGGCAAAGCCUUGGAUUUGUUCCAGCAAGCCUGGUGCAUGGAGUUGUUAUAAAUGAUGAUGAUGAUGAAGGGGUCUUACAUCUAUCUAAGGCUCAUGUCCGUGCCCUGCUGCUGAAUGAAUUUACUUCCUUGUCAGGCACAUCCUUCAGAAGGAUUCAGAAGAACUCCACAAAUUUCAGAUGAAAUCUAAAGUAUGGAGGGGGGUCACCACAGCUGCUUGGGCAGAUGCAGCUUCAGAUAAAGAGAAAGCAGACAUCAGCAAUUUGGGGGAGCUAUUUCAGGUAUACCAGUAAGAAGUGCCAAGUAGUUUGGCCCUGUUGUUUUCCUCCAGAUAAAUAUCAGUUCAUUUGAAUCUGAGAUAUGCUUUUAUACCAAGGUUUCCUCAGUGAUCUUUCAGCUCAUAUGAACAGGAUCUAGGUCACCAAAAUGCAGCCAGCCGAGAUGUAAUCCAGUAGUUCUUUAACACAAGACAGCACAGCAAAGGCACAAGGAGGUUACUCCUGGCCCUCCAGUGCAAGCAGAGGAAUGUCAAGAGCUGGAAUUUGGCUGGAGCAGAGUUAAAAGUUUUUGCUUUCAGGAUGGGGGCAUAUUGAGUUAAGGGAAUGUCAGGAAGUUUAAGGCCACAAGUCAGUGACUGCAGACACUAAAUGAGGCUUAAUGGAAGAAAUGGUUACAUUCUCAGGGGCAAUUUAUCUCUUCAUAUACAAAUAUAAAGCCAGAAUUAAAGUUUUGAUGUUCAUACCUAUGGAUGUAAGCUGAAUGUUUAUGCCCCAGUGGAUUUAAAUAAAGAUGAAUGUGAUUUGGGUCAUGCUGCAGCCUAAGUGGGAAGAAAUUGCAAAAGGUUUGCCUUCAGUAUGCAAGAUAGUAAAAAACAAAAGAAAAUUCAGCAAUAACCAUGCUUGUUAGUUCAGCAAAGAACAGUCACGUGAAAGCCCUGAGAAAGGGGAUCAAUGAACUGAAAGACAACAAAUGAGCUAAGCCUUCAGCUGCAAAGGGAUGGAUGUUUCCUCAGUUGGGAAGGAAUGAGGCAGUUCAUGUCAGUGAAAUACAGUGGAAGGCGUAUUCUAUUUUUGCCCAAAGAUCUCAGUUUUCAUUUUAUCCUAAAAUAAGCCAUGUAGCUUUCUGCUUGAGGGUGUUUGACUCUCAGCUCUGUACUUUCUUGGAGACCUGAUUUUCCACUGCACUGCACCAUCUGCUCGUGGUUUACAUCACGGCAGAGCGGAAGGAGUGCAGGGCCUGGCAUGAAGUGCUGAUGGUGCUUUGAACCAGUGGUCUAGCAGAAGAGCAAAAUGUUGCUUAGCAGGGAAAUCCUACAGGAAAACUGUUUCAUAUCUUCCUCUCCUCUUGCAAGUUCCCAGGAAUUUGGAGCACAGGAAUAUCCUGGUCUUUCCUUUAUUCAGUGCUCAUGAACUCCUUUAUCAGCCUUGUGGGACACGAGCAGCCCUGGAGGCUGAAAAAUGGAUCAAAAAGAUGACCUUAAACAUAAGCCAAACGGAGGCUAAAAACUCUUUCCCUGUUCAUCUGCCAGCAAAUCACACAGUUCAGUGACUUGCAAGUGUUACAGGAGCUUUCUGGAACACAGCAUCUGCCAAUUGCCACCGAUGUGCAAUUGGCCUCCUAAAUGCUGGAUGUGCUUGACAAUAUAAUAUUGUUUAACUUUGAUUUGAUGCCUCAAAUAA